CCUCUUCUCCUCCCACUCACUCCCAGGGCUGGCUUGCUCUCCUGGAGGCUGCAAGGGGUCUGGCCCUUCUCACUGGCCUUCCUGGCCAGGCAGAGGCUGACACCCAAGGUCAAGUGGUCUAGGUCACUGGAGGAGCAGCCUGAGCUUUCCUGAGUGACUUCCUCCUAAGGCCAGAGCUAGCCGGGAGAUGACAUUGCCUUUGCUGUGAUGACAUAUGACUAAAUCAAGGUGCCUAGAGAUGUGACCAAAGAGGAGCAGGUGCUGGAGCCCCACCUCUGGCUUGCUAGCUCAUAUUCCGCUGUAAUUAAGCCUCGGAUCCUCUCUACCAAAUGAUGAUGUCUCAAAGAAUGAACAAUGUUACCUUAGAAGAGGAACCAUGAGGUCAAAGGCUUCUGGGGCCACCUCUGUGCUGAAGCAAGGACAGGGAGUGAGGAGCCCCGGCCUGGGCACCCCUGGAGACCGGCUGGGCCCCAGCAGCUAGGAGA